AAUCUGCCUGACUCCUAAACCUGUACUCUCUUCUUACCAAGAAAGCCUUAAGGUUUCUAGUUUGGGAGACUACAAAGCUGAUUUUACUAUGAGCAGAGAGAGCAGCACUGAUAGAUGGAGAUGAAGAAAAUGGUCCCUUCUGUUUGAAUAUGCUGAGUUUGAGAUGAAGAGCUGGUUAAUUAUCAAUUUUUGUGAGAAAGGAAGGCUGUCCUCAUCUUUUGAAAGUCCUCCGAGCACAGCAGGCUAUGCAUGGUACGCCUCCAGUUUGUGAAAACAUCGGCAUCUGGAUGAACCCGACGAGUCAUCUGUGCCUUCUGCAUUGUGUCUCUGUGUGCCCUAAAACAGCACAAGCCAGCCACAAAUGAGUUCCUCUGCUCUGCCGCACACUCUUGCUGUGACCGGCAGCUUCUCCACAGACCUAAAGCCAAUAGGGCCAACCAUCCAUGACUGAAAUCUCCAAAACUGUGAGCCAAUGUCAUCCUUUUCUCUUUAUAAACUGAACAUGUUCAGGUUUCAUCCCAUAGGACUUGGAAGACAGAACAGAGCAGAAGUCCCCUUUGACAACUUUUGGCUACUUUCUGCUGAGGGCUGAGGCCCCCAGCCUCCUGGUAUCCAGGGCACUGGCAGGAGUGGCAGCUGCACCUUCCAGUCCCCAGGAUCUCAGUUGUGAUGGUUCAUUCUAGAACUGAGGGG
rnacentral:lncRNA from 1 species